CAGGUCCGUUCAGUGGCAAUGAAAGCACUUACAGGAAUAGAGAAAUGGGGCUGCGCUAGAAUAAAGGAAAGAAAGAAAAUAGGUCCUGGAUCUGGCUUUUGGAUGGAGUUGUAGCCCACUUAAAGAACAGGGUUUGAAUUACAGCCAGUUCAAACAAUGCAUCAAGGAUGAAUAUAUAGAGUGUUCUUGGAAAUAGAUCCCACCUCUUGACUUUCACAC